AUUGAACGCUGGCGGCAGGCCUAACACAUGCAAGUCGAGCGGGGUUUUCGGACCUAGCGGCGGACGGGUGAGUAAUGCGUAGGAAGCUACCCGAUAGAGGGGGAUACCAGUUGGAAACGACUGUUAAUACCGCAUAAUGUCUACGGACCAAAGUGUGGGACCUUCGGGCCACAUGCUAUCGGAUGCGCCUACGUGGGAUUAGCUAGUUGGUGAGGUAAUGGCUCACCAAGGCGACGAUCCCUAGCUGGUUUGAGAGGAUGAACAGCCACACUGGAACGGGGACACCGUCCAGGCUCCUACGGGAGGCAGGAGGGGGGAAUAUUGGACAAUGGGCGCAAGCCUGAUUCAGCCAUGCCGCGUGUGUGAAGAAGGCCUUCGGGUUGUAAAGCACUUUCAGUAGGGAGGAAGCGUUGUGUGUUAAUAGUACACAGCGUUGACGUUACCUACAGAAGAAGCACCGGCUAACUCUGUGCCAGCAGCCGCGGUAAUAC
rnacentral:rRNA from 1 species